rnacentral:rRNA from 1 species
UACAGAGGUCUCGAGCGUUAGGCGGAAUCACUGGGCUUAAAGCGUGUGUAGGUGGAUGCCUAAGUACCUUGUGAAAUCCCACAGCUUAACUGUGGAACUGCUUGGUAUACUGGGUGUCUUGAGUCACUCAGGGGCGAGCGGAACAAAUGGUGGAGCGGUGAAAUGCGUAGAUAUCAUUUGGAACGCCAAUGGUGAAAACAGCUCGCUGGGGGUGCACUGACACUGAGACACGAAAGCCAGGGAGCGAACGGG